rnacentral:rRNA from 1 species
AUAAAAUUAAAAGACAGCAUAAGGUGGAUGCCUUGACUUGAAUAUCCGAAGAAGGACGUAUAAAUCUGCGAUAAGCUUGGAGGAGUUGAUAAAAAGCGUUAUUACUCCAAGAUCUCCGAAUGGGGGAACCUAAUAUGAGUAAUUCAUAUUGUUAAAAAUAACGGAAACUUUGUGAACUGAAAUAUCUAAGUAGCAAAGGAAAAGAAAUCAAAAGAGAUUCCCUUAGUAGUGACGAGCGAAACGGGAACAGCCCAAAAUGUUAGAUUGUUAAAGGUAGCUCUUGAUCUAACAUGGUUGUAGGAUAAGCAUUAGGGGAGGCUAAUAAACCUAAUAUAAGAAAAGAAUAUAAAAAGAAAGACAUGGGAAGGUCUACCGCAGAGGGUUAAAGUCCCGUAUUAUAAUAUAUUCUUGAUUGUAUCUGCUUAUUCCUGAGUAGGUUCGGACACGUGUAAUCCGGAUUGAAUCUGGGGAGACCACUCUCCAAGGCUAAAUAGUAUUCAAGAUCGAUAGUGAACUAGUACCAUGAGGGAAAGGUGAAAAGAACCCCGGGAGGGGGAGUGAAAUAGACCCUGAAACCUUAUGCUUUUAAAGAGUGGGAGCUAACGUGACCACGUGCUUUUUGUAGAACGAACCAACGAGUUAAUGUGUAUGGCAAGGUUAAGACAGUUAAAGUCGAAGCCGCAGUGAAAGCAAGCCUGAAUAGGGCGUGAGUCAUAUAUAUUAGACCCGAAACUAGGUGAGCUUCCCAUGAGCAGGUUGAAGCGAUGGUAAAACAUUGUGGAGGACCGAACCAUUAGGAGCUGCAAGUCCUUUGGAUGACUUGUGGGAAGGAGUGAAAAGCUAAUCGAACCUAGAGAUAGCUGGUUCUCCGCGAAAUAGCUUUAGGGCUAGCCUCGGAUUACUACUUUACAGGGGUAGAGCUCUGAUAAGACUAGCGGAAGGCAACUUUUUAGCAAAUCUUGAUAAACUUCGAAUACUGUAAAGAUUAUACCGGGAGUCAGACAGUGAGAGAUAAGUCCCAUUGUCAAGAGGGAAACAGCCCAGAUUACUAUCUAAGGUCCCUAAUUAAUAACUAAGUGGAAAAGGAUGUGAGAUUGCUGAGACAACCAGGAGGUUGGCUUAGAAGCAGCCAUUCCUUUAAAGAGUGCGUAAUAGCUCACUGGUCAAGCGAUUUUGCGCUGAAAAUUCAACGGGGCUAAGUUAUUAACCGAAGAUGUAAACUGUAGUUUGAUUUAUCAAACUACUUUGGUAGCGGAGCGUUCUGUAUGUUGCUGAAGGAGAGGGGUGACCCCAUCUGGAGAUAUCAGAAGUGAAAAUGUUGGUAUGAGUAACGUAAGGGAGAUGAAAACUCUCCCCGCCAGAAACCCAAGGUUUCCUAUUCAACGGCAGUCGAAAUAGGGUUAGUCGGUCCUAAGGUGUAUCCGAAAGGAAAAGCUGAUGGAUAUCAGGUUAAUAUUCCUGAACUAUGUAUAUAAAGCGAAGGGGGGGACGUAUUGGGAUAUAGGAGAUAUUUAAUAUACUAUUAUUGCGAAGACGAAGUCUGAAACUUAGGAAAAUCCGGGUUUCAUUAAAGAAAGAGUUUAGCUAAACUAAUGAAAUGAAUUUAUUCAUCUCAGAAGUGGCUCCUACUAUAUUCAGGUACCGAGAAAAGCCUCUAAGUGUUAAUUAUAUAUGUAACCGUACCGCAAACGAACACUCGUGGGUUAGUGGAGAACACUAAGGUGAACGAGAUAACUAUUCUUAAGGAACUCGGCAAAAUAGCGGUCGUAACUUCGGGAUAAGACCUGCCUACUACUUAAUUUAGGUAGUAGGCCGCAGCGAAAGAACUCAGGCGACUGUUUACCAAAAACACAGCUCUGUGCAAACUCGUAAGAGGAUGUAUACGGGGUGAUGCCUGCCCAGUGCCAGAAGGUUACGAGGAUGAGUUCACGCUUUGAAUCUAAGCCCUGGUGAACGGCGGCCGUAACUAUAACGGUCCUAAGGUAGCGAAAUUCCUUGUCGGGUAAGUUCCGACCCGCACGAAUGGCACAACGGUCUGAGUACUGUCUCAAGAAUAGACUCGGUGAAAUUGCAAUGUCGGUAAAAAUGCCGACUACCUGUAGCAAGACGGAAAGACCCUAUGGAGCUUUACUAUAGCUUGGUAUUGAAUUAUGUUUUAAGAUGUGCAGGAUAGGUGGGAGACGGUGAAGUAUGGAUGCUAAUCUGUAUGGAGUCAACCUUUAGAUACCACCCUUCUUACAAUGUAAUUCUAACCCGUACAACGGGGACAGUGCUUGGUGGGUAGUUUAACUGGGGCGGUUGCCUCCUAAAGAGUAACGGAGGCGCACAAUGGUCAACUAUCUUCGGAUGGAAAUCGGAGAGAUAGUGUAUUCGCAUAAGUUGGCCUGACUGAGAGACUUACAAGUCGAGCAGAGUGGAAACACGGUGAAAGUGAUCCGGCAUUAACAAGUGGAAGUGAUGUCGCUCAACGGAUAAAAGUUACCCUAGGGAUAACAGGCUGAUCGCGUCCAAGAGUUCACAUCGACGACGCGGUUUGGCACCUCGAUGUCGGCUCGUCGCAUCCUGGGGCUGGAGAAGGUCCCAAGGGUAUGGCUGUUCGCCAUUUAAAGCGGUACGCGAGCUGGGUUCAGAACGUCGUGAGACAGUUUGGCCCCUAUCUGCUAUAGGCGCAUAGGAAUUUGAAGAGAUCUGCUCCUAGUACGAGAGGACCGGAGUGGACAAACCUCUGGUGUAUCGGUUGUUGUGUAUAACAGCAUUGCCGAGUAGCUAAGUUUGGAAUGGAUAACCGCUGAAAGCAUCUAAGCGGGAAGCCAACUUUAAGAUUAGAUUCCUCUGUCCUAGAGACAAUAAGUUCCCUUGGAGACUACGAGGUUGAUAGGCUUCAGAUGUAAGUACAGUGAUGUAUUCAGUCGAGAAGUACUAAUAGAACGAAAGAGUUUUAAAA